AGUCCGCCAACGCCGCCGUCCCGAGCACAAGACCGAUGUGAGGCCGAAGCCAGACGGCUUGCUUCCCACGUCCGGGGCCGAGUGAAUACGUGUCAAGCCCUUUUCCUUCUUCUCGGAACAGCACCUUCUUACUAAACAGAUCGGAGAUUGGACCAGGAGGGCGGGGGAGGGAGGAGGAUCAUGAGCUGGGGGGAGGGUGAACGAGUGGCGGAAACCCUUAGGCUCAGAGAAGCAUCGAGAACCGGAAGGAGACCAUGGGAGGAAGGUAAAGGAAGCAGCCGCUGCGCGAUCCAGCCCCACGCCCCUCCCCACAGCGUCCCCCAGUUUCCUCACUUGGUAUCGAGGAGACGACUCUCGCGAGAACUUCGUGGCUGGCUAACCGAAGCGGUAGCUCUGCAAUGACUUAAGAGCAGUUUUGUGCGCUUUUCCUGACGGGGUUCCGCCUCCAAAAUGCAUAAGUUCUCGCGAGACGCAGUAAGGCACCGGCUCGAACUGGGGCGGGCCACUGCCAGGAAAGCAACGCCCCUGAAUGCUUAUGCCGGUGGUUGGUAGAGGAAAUGGAAUUCCCCAGACUGUACCUCUUGACUUGCUACUGGUACCUGGAAGAGAUGUAACACCUGACCAUGGGACAUCAAGUGACUGUGUGAAUCAAACUGCCCAUCAUGAAUUGUUGUUAUUUGACUCAUCAAACUGUACAACUGGAUGAACACAGGAGCAGUGCACUACAUAUGGGACUGGAACCAUGAAUGAGCAGGUGACUCAGACUCCUAUAGUACCUGCCUCUACUCCUUCAGCACUUCUCCCUCAACCCACAUAAACUGUCAUCAUAAUGAGUUCCCUCUGACCAGUUAAUGGAAGAGAAAAAAGUAUGGAUGUUAUGGAUAUCCUAACAUAUUUCUGGCCAUUGGACCCCUAGAAACCUGUGGCAAGUCCUGGAAGUUUUUCAAGGUUCAUCUUGCACCUUCUAGCAUGCAUAUGUCGUACCAAAGCAUGUAGAAUGCUGCCUACUUCUGCUCUUCAGUUUCAUUUAAUAUAAUUUCAUUACUCUGAUAAAUCAGUGUGAUGUUCUAUGGAAUAACAAAAGACCAUCAAGGUCCCUUCAUACCAUAUAGAGAACAGGAGAGUUGAUGUAGCCUGAGACAAGACAGUAAGGACUUACUGUUAUCCCUCCUAUUUAAACGUAGUCUGUUUCUGAUUCUCCUUAGAAUGGGGGUGGGGGGACAUUUCCAGAUCAAUAUCAGAUCAGUAUCAUGUCAACAUGGGUAUUAAUUUCUUCCGAAGAAGAUACCACACCUAGAACAGCAACCAUAAUUGGCAUCCCUACCUAAUUAAAGUUUGCAGUCCACUGUCA
rnacentral:lncRNA from 1 species